UCUCCAUACUUUCUUUUUUAGGAUGAGCUCAUCCAUCCAUUUUUUCAUCAAGAAGUAAAAAUUUCAGUAGAUCAUCAAUUUGAAGAUACUCUCAUUAUAGUCAUGGCAUCACUUACAUUGUUCAAGAUCCAAGCAAUGCUAAGGAAUUACAUAAAUAAGGAACACUACUAUAUAACUGAGGGAGUUUGUUUACCACUUCUGAUAAUUUGUUCACACCAGCCAUGAGACACAUACUUCCUCACUAUCUGCAGUUUAAAAAUCUGUAAAGAAAAAGAAAUCAACCUUUCAAGUUCAGCAGGUAAAAACGUGAAAAUGAUUAGUGAACAUAGAUCUCGUAUUUUACAUUAAAAUUAGGUGUACAUUUAUAUGUACUUUUUCCUUUCUUCCUCAUAGACAAUAACAACCUUCUGCAGCUGAUCAUUUUUCAUUUCUCAUGAGCACCUUCUCAUCUGAGCCUGCAACAGAAAUAGUGUGGCCAGCAGGACUAGGGAAGUGAUUGUCCCUCUGUACUCAGCACUGGUAAGACUGCACCUGGAAUACUGUGCUCAGGUUUCAGCCCCUCACUACAAGAAGGAUAUUUUGUUGCUCAAGGGUGUGCAGAGAAGAGCAAUGAAGCUGGUGAAGGGACUAUAGAACAAGACUUACAAGAAGUGUCUGAGGGAGCUGCAGUUGUUUAAUGUGGAGAGAAGGAGGCUGAGGGGAGACCUCUUUGCUCUCUGCAACAAGCUGAAAGGAGGUUACAGUGAGGAAGGUGUCUGUCUCAUUUCUCAGGUGACAAGUGAUAGGAUGCAAGGAAAUGGUCUCAGAUUGCACAAAGUCUUGAGUUUAGAUUGAAUAUUGGGAAGGAUUUCUUCACAGAGAGGGUAGUCAAACACUGGAAUGAGUGACCAAUGGAAGUGGUGGAGUCCCCAGCCCUGGAGCUACCUACUUAAGAGACAUGGUGAUGUGACACUAAAGCACAUGGUUUAGUCAUGAGACUUGGUAGGUCAGGUUGAUGGUUGGACUUGAUAGUCUUGAAGGUCUUUUCCAACCUACAUGAUUCUAUGAUUCUAUGAUUUUUUUUUGUCUGUUUUUAGUUAAUAACUUUAUAACAAAAGACAUUCAC
rnacentral:lncRNA from 1 species